rnacentral:rRNA from 1 species
GGAAUAACUGUUUCAAUGAAACUAAAAAGAAAUUUCUUAAUAGGUGAAAAUUCCUUUAAUUAAUACAAUAGACGAGAAGACCCUAAGAAUUAUAUAUUAAAAUUAGUAGUUUAUAACAAAAUUUUUGUUGGGGCAACAGAUUUGGUAAAAUCAAUAACUUUUAGAUUUGCAUAUUAAGUAUAUGUAAUAAGAAUUUAAUUACCUUAGGGAUAACAGCAUUAUUAAUAUAUUAUGUUGUGACCUCGAUGUUGGACUAGGGACUUUUAAAGUAAGCCAUUUUAAAAGAUUGUUCUGUUCGAACAUAAAAC